rnacentral:rRNA from 1 species
GACGAACGCUGGCGGCGUGCUUAACACAUGCAAGUCGAACGGAAAGGCCCUGCUUUUGUGGGGUGCUCGAGUGGCGAACGGGUGAGUAACACGUGAGUAACCUGCCCUUGACUUUGGGAUAACUUCAGGAAACUGGGGCUAAUACCGGAUAGGAGCUCCUGCUGCAUGGUGGGGGUUGGAAAGUUUCGGCGGUUGGGGAUGGACUCGCGGCUUAUCAGCUUGUUGGUGGGGUAGUGGCUUACCAAGGCUUUGACGGGUAGCCGGCCUGAGAGGGUGACCGGCCACAUUGGGACUGAGAUACGGCCCAGACUCCUAAGGGAGGCAGCAGUGGGGAAUAUUGCACAAUGGGCGGAAGCCUGAUGCAGCAACGCCGCGUGCGGGAUGAUGGCCUUCGGGUUGUAAACCGCUUUCGCCUGUGACGAAGCGUGAGUGACGGUAAUGGGUAAAGAAGCACCGGCUAACUACGUG